ensembl:lincRNA
GUCCCUGGCUGGUUGUUUUUGCCUGGUUGGUCGUCAACUUCCCCUUGAAAGGGACCAUGAUUUAUUUCUGACCUGGCUCAGUCCCUGGCACAUCAUUGGUACUGCUCAACAUCGGCGGAGCACCCGACUGAGGGGCCCAGUUCUUCUUGCAGGGAACCUGUUCUUGCAGGUACUAAGGAUAUGGAAUGUCUUUGGGACUGGGGUCACCUGGAGAUGUCACAAUGUGCCAGUCGUGAGAGGCAGCAGUGGGAGCCCUAAAUGGCGAAUGCUGGGGUGUCACGCAAUUCUAACCAGGUGGGUGACGGGGCAGCCAAUCACCAGGAGGGGGAGGCACCCAGAUGGGGGAAGGCCCCUUUCCUUACUCCUUUUCCUUGGGAGACCCUGACGACGGAGAGACAGGAAAACAGGAGGAAGCUUGGCUCCCAGAUAAGGGUAGGGAUAGCAGGGUGCAAGCAGGAGUUAGAGGAAACUUCCAGAAAUCUUUACUGCCCUAGGAGAGCCGGGGGAAGAACCCUUUUUCAUGCAACUGAAGAGCAGGUGGAAACCCCCAGGAGCUUGUAGUGGCUCCAGCUUCUCCAUUCAUCAGCCAGACUGGUCUCGUGAUCCUCUGCUUGACAAUGCUGGAGCAGUUCCUGAGGCUGCGAGAAAUCUCAACAACGCUGUAGACCUUUCAGAAACUCCUGUCCAGAUGUCCCCUGCAGCCCUUGGGUUGCUUGAAACCAAGGGGAUUUGCUCCUCUGCGCAUGUGGUGCUGGGCAGGGGAGCCAAGGGUUGCAGAGAUCAGCACUUUGCUGUGUUGCAGAAGCGCUCUGGUGGUCGCUGCAGGGGCAGGGUCUAAGGGGCUCACUGGGGAGGAGGGUGGUGUGCCCACUGCCUUGCUGGGUUUCUGGGUUAUUCCUUCCAAGCAUCUCAUGGUAUUAGUUCCAUACUGGACAGUGGCUGGCCUGCUCCCAGCCCUGGUCAUUGUCCACACCAAGGCCUGCAGACCCAACUCAGUCUCAUGGCAGGGGUUUCCAACCUGGUCAUGUUAGAGGAGGAAAGAGGCCCAGGAUGCACAUACCACUAGUUCAAGGCCACGUAGAGAGUAUAGCCAAUCCAUGUUCACUAAGGUGGAAGCAUCUUGGAGUCAGAAAAUCUGCAAUGUCAGAGGAGGAGGAAGAUCCCCCAGCUCCAGGGAAACCACUGCCCAAACCAGAAUCAAAGCUGAGACCUGAGUCCGGGUGUUCCCACUUGCAGACAAUUUUCACAUUCCUGCUAAUUCUCGAAGUGGAUGCCACCCCUCUCACCUUGCCCAGAAGCUAGGGCAGCUAAGGAAGCAGGGGAGGGGGAUUGCAGAGAGAUGACCCAGCUCGCCUCACUCCUCAAGGCCCCGAGCAAGACAACCUAGAGCCUUUAUCCCCCGCUGUGGCUGCAAGGGCGGAGAGGGUCCCUCUCGGGGGAUGCUGCAGCAUGGCAGGGCGGGGCACAGAGAGCGGGGCACCAUGUCCUGUGGGCCUGCCUGUUCCCCCUUCACACCAGUGGCACUCUGCUGAGAUCCCCCCACCAACCUCAGUUACACACUGUCCCCCUCUUGACUCGUCAUGAGGCUGGGACUUGUGCCAGAGCCACAAGGCUCCCCGUUGGUGACUUUAAGGUCUCUCUGUGGAGGGAUGUCUGUAGGACUUCACACCAGACCCCUGGGAGCCACCCUGGGUGAGGAAUUUGAUGAGAGACUCCUUGGUGAGGUUGAGACCCAUCUUCUGGGGGGAGUCUGUGGGAGUGGCUGUGAUUGACACCAGUCACGAGGGACUUUGAGGCUGGGGAACACCAAUCCAUGGCUAUCCCAUGGUGGGCCUAUUUCCCCCAAAUAAAUCAUGCCUCCUAGCCCAAACUGCCAUGUCCAAAUGCACUACAACUAAGAACCAGUUUGCAAAGCAGGCCCCCCCCCCACCCUCCACAGUGGUUAGAGAGGGACCCACUGUCCCGGGUUGUAGUGCACUUGGAGAUGCCUCUCUAGCUGCUCAGCCCAGGGGAUGGAGUUCACUUCCUCCAACUCCUGCAAGUGUGUAGAUCAUUUCAGGUGCUGCCUUAGCUUCUUCACUGAUCCCUGUCAGCACGUCUGUCCUUUUUGAACUAUUUCUGCACAGAUUGAAGCUUCAGUCUAAUAUUUUGGCUCACAGAUAACCUCCCUUGGUGCCGCCCAACACCUCUUCUUAGACAGGAAGUCACAAAUGAUCAGCAAACCAGUAUUGAAAUGUACAGAGGGAGCUUCACCCAAAGAAAAGGCCCUCAAGCAACUCUUUUGCAAAAGCUCUCUUGGGAGAGCUGUUUCUCCAGUUGGCUUGGAAGUGGGGUCCUAGAGUGUCACCAUGGAGACAAGAGCCUAUCCCACAGCAUAGACACAGGAGGCCUCUCCGUGCCUAGAUGCAGAUGGUAGGUCUGGUUAUAUGUUGCUGGCUUCUCUCAUCUCCCCUUUUAUUUGAGCGGGGCGCUGCUGUUUCCGCUCUGUGCCCACACGGUCUUCCUCCAGAAAAAAACUCAGGUUUAAUUGCAUUGCCUCUUGCUAUUCCCCCCAGCACUGCCUGAAUGUCUGGGCAGCAAGUAGCAUUGAACCAUUUUUAAAGAUCUAAUCCAGAUGCCUCAUCUCACCCUCUUAUUUUAUAGAUGAGGAAACUGAGGCCCAGGCAUCGGGCAGGGACUGGCCUGUACUUACAAAGGUGAGUGGUGGCAAAGUUGGGGAUUGAACUCAGGCCUCCUGACUGCCAGUCCAGGGCUCUUUCUAGCAAGUAGUAUAUUGGCUACAGUUUCAAAAAGGUCC